AUGGCUCCACACAGGAAAACAAGGAUGAAACAGAAGAGUAGUUUAACAUUUAAAUAUUUGUGUGCCUGGAAACAUUUCUUCAUCCUUGAAACACCGGAGGCAAACCUGGGGAGCUAAACACCAGAGCUGGGAAUCCCUUCCUUAAAAGGAUACCAAGAAAUCACAUGUACAUUUUAUUUACAAUUUCAGAACAAUGUUGCACAGGACGGACUGAUGGUAACUGGGCCUGCUGGUGAUACAAGAAAAUCUCAGACCCACAUGAUCAAAGACAUUUAGGAUAAAAAAGGCAAACUCUGUUAUUUAAACCCAGUAGCAUGAGUUUCCAAUAGACGAGUUGUUCUCCAUUCAACCGAGGAGAAACGUGUUUCCCGCAAACUGCGGAGUCCACACCCAAAGUUUAAGAGCAACUUUUGUAUCAUGUGCUAAAUUUAGAAUUGAUGGCAGAGGGCCCUCAAUUUCAGCUCUCCACAUACUUCAACGUGAUUGGAAUCUGGACGCCUGCCAUCCUCUUAACGGUGCUGUUUCCCUUUUAAGACCAGUGAAGUCUGCAUUUACUGAGAAUUUACUGGGGAAAGUGAAAUCGCCAACUUAGAUCAUGCAAAUUGCCCAGUGCAACCGUCCUCAUGUUUGUCUGCGUUCCUUCCAUCUAGUUUCAUUUUUACAUAAAUUAGGAGGAGUUUGGUCUAAGCACAUGGCUAACAGAAGGUUAUAAAUAUUAACAGGUUCAACACACAGCAAGGAGAAAGUUCGUGUAGUGUGGUAAUUUUCGUGUUUCCACUGAAGUCGUCCCGUAAGCACAGGGCAGUGAGCGCCUGCCCCCCGAGAUCCAGUGCCUUAGGCUGAACCAACCAGGUACAAGCAAGAACAUUCUUUGAAGUCUCUUUUUGUAUUAAAAAUUCACAUACUUUUUGCAUUCUCCUCCAUAAUAUAUCUUUGCUUAUUUUAAUAUAAAAGUAAUGUGUUUCUCUCAAAUCUUCAAACGAAAUUGACACUUCGAGAUUUAAAACAGUGUGAGUCAGUACAGCAAAGUAGCUAUGAUGACAGAUUCGGCCAGGAACAUGCUGAUUUUAAACCUCGUCCACGUGGUGUCCUAGCUCCGUGACCUUGGGGAAACUGCUCUAACAGCUGUGCCUUCGUUUUCUUAGUUUCUAGUCUCUAUGAAGGGGAGACCGUGCUGCCCAUUAUGAUAAAAAUUAUCAUCAGGCCAGCCCUGUGGCCUAGCAGUUAAGGAAGCUGGAUCACAAGUGGCUAUUUGUGGUUCGAAUCCCAGCCUGGCAGUCUGAGAGACAUGGUGUGAUACAUGCAUGUGUGGCUAAAACCGAACUGAAUGGAGAAUGGAAAAGAAGGAAUUGCGGUGGGACCCGCUGGGGGCGCUUUCUCCCCCUCUCUCUGCUGAGUGCACACACCCACUAACAAUUUAAAAAUGUGUCACCAAUGUUUAGCUUUCACACUCAUGCUGUAUUUGUGAAGCUCAAAUCUUACAUGUGCAAACAGUUGAAGUGAUGAGAAUGCCUACCAAGGUGACAUACAACGGUGAACACACAUGCACGCGUGCGACACACAUGCACACACACAAUUUUAUGUCAGCUCUACUCCUUGUGAAUCCUUCUUCCAACAUGAGUGAAGGGGCUUUUAAAAUGGCGAAUCUAUAGUUAGUGACCACUGCGAUAGACAAACGAAGCCCACAGAAGGCGUGACUGUCGUUGGAAUUUGCCUCCAUUUUUCAGCUACUCAUACUGAAGUCUUGAUUUAAAAAAAAAGAGCACUAACUUUACCUCAUGGAAUGAGCUGAUGGUGUUCAACAUUCAAGUGUCCAGAGUUCUGAACUAAUUUUUUUCCUGGAAAGGAUGCCCCGAGUUGAGAGAGCGCAGCGAUUUAACCAACAGUUGGUGCGAUUCCAGGACACUCUGAUCUCCCACGAGGUCUGGCAACGUCCUGGGACUCUGUGAAAGACUCCAUCAUACAUGAUGCUGGAUGGAGCGAGCACAUGUGGGCUGAAGCCCAACGCUGUCUUCUCUUUCCGGUAACAAACCAUUCAUUGUUUAAUGCAUUAUUAUGAAGAGACAGAAUUGAUGAUCAGGGCAAGACAGAUAUAUUUUCACAGUGAUACUGCACCUCCCUGCCCCGAUUCCUGCACCUCACUCCCCGAUUCCUGCACCUCCCUGCUCCCAUUCCUACCCCUUUUGAGCCAAAAUCAGUUCUC